CUUCUCCUAAAGACUAAGCCAUGCAUGCCUUCGAAUAAGAGGAAGCAAUUCUCUCUGAAUCUGCGAACGGCUCCGCAAACCAGUUGUAAACUAUAGCAAGCAAGCUCAGGGCCGGCUCUCACGGGCUGGCUCUGGGCGAUAUGGAUAACCCUGGUAAUUCUGAGGCUAAUACAUGACCGUAGAACCUGGAGGACUGGCCUCGGCUGGGAAUCUGGGGGAUGUGCGACGUAUGCUUGGUGUUUCCGGGAAGGGGCGCAUGUUCAGACCACGCUAAAAAGGUCGGGUCCCUUCGGGGGCCUGUCCCAGUGGCUCUUGCUGUGUGCUUCUGACCUAUCAAAUAGACGGCAGCCUAACGGACAUGCUUUGGUGACAACGGGUACAGAGGAUUAGGGUUCGAUCCUGGAGAGUGGGCCUGAGAGAUUGCUCAUACUUCUAAGGAAGGCAGCAGGCGCGCAACGUUCCCCUUGGGCAAUGCCCGAGGGCGUUAGGGGACAUAUGAAUGCCUGCCC
rnacentral:rRNA from 1 species